rnacentral:lncRNA from 1 species
CUUUAGCCAACACCUGCAGGCCUGUCCCUGCCUUUCCUCUUUCUGUGGAAACCGAAUUCACCGCAUUCCAAUCACGGGAAGACAAGCAAGGACCACCCUUUUAAUCUAGUUUACUUCCAUCAGAGAAGGGGAGUGGUUGUUGUGUUGUUUCUUCUUGGAGGAGGGCGUAAGGGGCUGUGUAGCUGUGAAACAUUGAAGGAAAAGAAAAAUCUUCCAGGAAAAGUCAUGCCUAAUAUCUUUUUGCAGGGCACAUCAGUCAGCAAAAAAAGUUCACAAAAAGACCAAGAGCAUAAGAUACAAGGGUAAGGGUAAGUUGUUAUAGCCAGUGGCUUUCAGACUUACAGUGAAAUAAACUAAUACUAGAAAACUUUCUCUGUGGCA